CCUACGGGAGGCAGCAGUGAGGAAUAUUGGUCAAUGGUCGGGAGACUGAACCAGCCAAGCCGCGUGAGGGAUGAAGGUACAGAGUAUCGUAAACCUCUUUUGUCAGGGAACAAAGGCGGGGACGCGUCCCGGGAUGAGUGUACCUGAAGAAAAAGCAUCGGCUAACUCCGUGCCAGCAGCCGCGGUAAUACGGAGGAUGCGAGCGUUAUCCGGAUUUCUUGGGUUCAAAGGGUGCGCAGGCGGUCUGUUAAGUCAGCGGUCCAAGCCCGGGGCUCACCCCCGGCCCGCCGUUGAAACUGGCAGUCUCGAGUUGGAGAGAAGUCUGCGGAAUGCGCGUUGUAGCGG
rnacentral:rRNA from 1 species